rnacentral:rRNA from 1 species
GUGCCAGCAGCCGCGGUAAUACGUAGGGGGCGAGCGUUGUCCGGAUUUAUUGGGCGUAAAGAGCUCGUAGGCGGUUCAACAAGUCGGUAGUAAAAGUUCAGGGCUCAACCCUGAAAUGUCUAUCGAUACUGUUGUGACUAGGAUACGGCAGAGGUGAGUGGAAUUCCGAGUGUAGCGGUGAAAUGCGUAGAUAUUCGGAGGGACACCAAUUGCGAAGGCAGCUCACUGGGCCGCUAUCGACGCUGAGGAGCGAAAGCUAGGGGAGCAAACAGGAUUAGAUACCCUGGUAGUCCUAGCUGUAAACGAUGAUUACUCGUUUUCGGCGAUAUACAGUCGGAGACUAAGCGAAAGUGAUAAGUAAUCCACCUGGGGAGUACGAUCGCAAGGUUGAAACUCAAAGAAAUUGGCGG